GGGGAAUUUUGGACAAUGGGCGCAAGCCUGAUCCAGCCAUGCCGCGUGUCUGAAGAAGGCCUUCGGGUUGUAAAGGACUUUUGUCAGGGAAGAAAAGGCUGUUGCCAAUAUCGACAGCUGAUGACGGUACCUGAAGAAUAAGCACCGGCUAACUACGUGCCAGCAGCCGCGGUAAUACGUAGGGUGCGAGCGUUAAUCGGAAUUACUGGGCGUAAAGCGAGCGCAGACGGUUACUUAAGCAGGAUGUGAAAUCCCCGGGCUCAACCUGGGAACUGCGUUCUGAACUGGGUAACUAGAGUGUGUCAGAGGGAGGUAGAAUUCCACGUGUAGCAGUGAAGUGCGUAGAGAUGUGGAGGAAUACCGAUGGCGAAGGCAGCCUCCUGGGAUAACACUGACGUUCAUGCUCGAAAGCGUGGGUAGCAAACAGGAUUAGAUACCCUGGUAGUCCACGCCCUAAACGAUGUCAAUUAGCUGUUGGGCAACUUGAUUGCUUAGUAGCGUAGCUAACGCGUGAAAUUGACCGCCUGGGGAGUACGGUCGCAAGAUUA
rnacentral:rRNA from 1 species